AAGCACGACAAUGUCACUUUUUCAAACAUUUAGAGACAAUUCAUGUACAUUCAUGCAAGUAGUAGUAGGGCGCAGUAGUUCUGACAGUGGGGUACCAGUGAUCAGAGCCCCCGACAUGCUGUGCAGUCAAAAAAUAAUAUUAAACAUAUUCAUUCAUUCAUUUUAGUCAAAUCUAUUUACUCUAGAUGGCCAUUUAUAUUAUAAGGGUCUUCAUUGACAAAUUUACACAAUUGACAAUUGUAUAGUUUUAAUGGCGUCUUAUUUUUUAGAUGUUAUAGUUUUGCGCUAGUGGACACUUGUUUGAGGUGUGGAUUCUGUGUAACUCGCUGUCCUGUCUCUGCCCUUUGCAGCAGCUCGUUAAUGAGCACAGGUGCGCCGUUGCCGUGGUUACUCGCACACACGCUGCAGUAUCUCUGUCUGACUCACAGCUGCUCCUAUGACCUGAUUAGUGGAGUCACAUGACGCAGCUAUGCUUUCUGUCAACAGACCAAUAUGAUAAAGACACUAGCCCCCCUGACCUCUUCUCACUGUUAAUCACUCUGUCUAUUUCUCCCCCUCUCUCCCUUCCUCCCUCUCUCUCUCUCUCUUUCCCCCACCUCCCUUCCUGACCCUCUUUCUUUCUCCCCCUCUCUCUCUCCCUUCCUCCCCCUCUUUCUUCCUUCUUUCCCCUCUCUCGCUUCCUCCCCCUCUCCCUUCCUUUCCAUUCCUCCCCUCUUUCUUCCUGAUGCUUUUUUCCAACCUCUUCUUUAUUAUUAAUAUUACUUUUAGAUAAUAGUUCAUGGCUUAACUGAUUUAAUUAAUUUUAAAAAACAGAAAUGUUCUUUUCUCAGCCUGAACUAUAUUAUGCUCCGGAGGAGAAGCAUAUCUUCCUAAAUUAAAUGAAAUAAGAAGAGUAUUAUCCUUCUUCAUCUGUAUUUUGUCCAUGUUUGGGGGUUUCACGGCUUUUACUGUCAAUCGCUGCCGGUUGCUAGGCAAUGGGAGAAGCGGAGGGGAAGCCGACGACGCAAACAGGAAGUCUUCCCGUAUGACAGAAGGUUCUAUUUCAGGGAUCGCUCUGUUCAGCCUAUGCGGUUGUUGGAGGACCUCAGCCACGAAUUGAGACAUAGCUACUGCUUCAGUUUGCCACCUGGGAUAGUACUAGCCAGCAUUGCACUAGCUAGCAUUGUGCCAUAUAGCAUAGUGCUAGCUAAUUUGCACUAGCUGCCACUGGCUCAUGCGCAUAAUGUUACAUCUGUCUGUCCGUUUCUCUCUAUUUCUCACAUCUCUUGACCGGACCACCGAGUUCUUAGCCCGUCAGAUGUUUUAUGCUUUUUUCCGACCUCUUUAUUAUGGGUGUGUACUGCACGGCUCCGAGCCUGUGACGUCAUUACGCGGUGCUUGUCACCUCACCGCUUUGGAUUUGCCGCACGCGAGUAUCUGGGUUCGUGUUUUUGUUUGUUAGCCAAUCGCUGUCAGUUCUGUACAUUCUGUCCAAUAAAACUCACUGGUUGCCAAGCGGUGAGUGAGUGAAAUCCCUGACGUCUGACUCAUUGAGGUUCAAGAGCUGAAAGAAAAUGGCACUCAAACAACUGCUGUGGACAAAAGCGCCCAAUAGUUAUUACAGGCCACCACCAAUCCACUUGUGUGUGGUUUUAAAAAAAGAGCAGCCCAGGGUGGUGACCUGGGAGUUCCAUGCGAAUGGUGUGAGACCAGGACUGGUGAAAAAAAAUGUCCUGGUUGCUCUCACGGAUGGCCAGUCGGUGGCUAAAGUCACCAUUUAUGAGGAGUUUUCCUCAAAGUGCCAAGAGGGGGGGAGCUAUUUCAUGAGGGGGUACGGACUGAGGGGAGAGUUCGUGCCCUACUCAAUUAAUAUUUCAAGGGAAACCAUGUUCUUCCGGAGUGGCCCAAUUGAGGUUACGCCGGAGCUCAGGAGGCAGGCGGAGAGCCUCAUCUGCCCCCCAUCUCCUCUCACCCCCCUGAGCAGCUGCACGGACACCCAGGGGCUGUUCACUGUAGAGGGCGAAGUGGUCCAAAUGUCAAUGGUGAAAAAAAUCACCAAAGGGAGAGAGGCCUUUCCACUGCGCCAGAUCAAGCUGCAGCAGGGGGAAACAGAGAUGGCUGUCAGCCUGUGGAGAGAAGCUGCAGCAUCUGAUGUGCUCCAGGUUGGAGCGACUGUCAGGGUGUCCCAUCUUAGGACUAACCAGGGACAGUUUGGGACACAACUGCACCAACUUCACUUCCGUUGAGGAGGUGAUCUCAGAGGAGGUGGUGGGUGCGUGUGGGGUGAUGGACCUCGAGGGCUCUCCUGGCAUCCUGAACCUCCUGCUGGAGGUCGACCGCAUGACUACUAUUAGCAGGGCUCUGUUGGCGCCCAUAGAGCCCCACAUCACCAACCCGCCCUUAAGGGUAAAGCUGCAGAAGCACGGCAAUCGGGUUGUCAAAAUUGAAAUAGUUAAAAGUUCAUUUGUUUUUUUAUGUUGUUUAUUUGUUCCUGAAUGUGUAGUUAUUUAUUCAGUUAGUGUUAAUUUUGUUACAUGUUCAUGUUAAUAAAUUUGAAAUAUUUAAAGAACAUUUCUGCUUUUUUAAUGGUGUCCUUUGUUUCAUAGAAUCUUCAUUAUUGACCGUAAAUGCUGUGAAUACUUUUCUGGUGAUUUGUAUAAUAUACACAUGUCUCUGAUGAGUCCGGCCUGGUCCACAGAGCCUAUCGGCGAGCCAAAGGGGGGCAGUGAUCAGAGCCCCCGACAUGCUGUGCAGCCCGCUCUCUUCUAACCUGCUAUGACUGCCGCUCAGGCCCCGACAAAUUCUUCCAAGCAAAACAUAAAAAAAAUAAUAUUAAACAUAUUCAUUCAUUCAUUUUGGUCAAAUCAAUUUACUCUAGAUGGCCAUUAAUAUUGUUAUAGUUUUAAUGGCAAUACAGGUUGAAAAACACUACCUUUAAUCAGUAACUGGAAGAGUUUCGGUAUCAAUACUACUAUUUCUACGGCUAUGAAUACUACAACUACUACUCAUUUUACUACUAUGACUAAUAGCUAACAAUAUUAGUGGGGAUGCCCGUAGAUAUUAGUGGAAAGUCACUUUAAUGCCUUAUCGUUUAUACUUUAGAGGUUAACUAAUAUCUAAGGUUGUGACUGUUUCACUUUCCAAAUCAGUAACUUAACAAAUGUUGAAUAAAUACACAAAGAAACUGAACUGGGGUGAACUUUGCUCCUUUUGUGUUGUGGUGUAAUUAUUAUCUAUAUACAUUUAGUUUAGGGGUGUGAUUAUAAACUAAGUUUACAUUUAGUUGUGUUUUAUGGAGAAGCAGCAUAACACAAGGAGAAUGACGUGUGUGCUGACAUUCAGAUACUGUAGCUUGUAUUCUGUAAUAUCUUAUGGUUAGAGUUCAAAUAGCCAUAUUCUAUACAUGAAACAAAUCAUUGCAUACAAGUUACAGUUUUUGCCCAUUGCUUGAACACAUUUUGUAAAAUUUCGCUCAUUGUGCCAAAACUCUACACACAAGUAAACAUGACACAACACUGAGAAAUAUACCAUUCACAUCUGUGUCAAAUUGAAACUGUACUAUCAAAACCUAACAUUCCUUUGUCAAAAUGUAACUCUGAUGACAAAAUGACACAUACAUGCAUCAUUUGAAUACACAUUCAGAUCAGCAGCAACACACUAGUCUACUUGACCUCACCUCAAUGUCUCCGCAGGCCUGUUCCAUUGCCUGCAGAAGAGGCAUACGGCCAUGGGGUUGGCGGUCAUAUACGUACCAUCUCCAAGCGAAAAAAAAAAAAAUUCCUCUAUAGGAUUUAGAAAUGGCGAGUAAGGGGGCAAGUACACAACUUCAAAUUGAUCAUGGUUGGUGAACCAGUUCUGGACCAGAGCAGCCCGAUGGAAACUAACAUUCUCCCAGACAACAACAAACCUGGGCUGAUCUGGUCCAUCUUGUACAAUUGCAUUAUGAAGUGCAUCUAGAAAUGUGAUUAUGUGUUGCGCAUUAUAGGGACCCAGUUUGGCAUGAUGGUGCAGUAGCCCUCGAAGACUUAUGGCAGCACACAAUGUUAUAUUUCCCCCGCGCUGCCCCGGGACGUGCAAAAUUGCCCUUUGGCCAAUUAUAUUUUUUUAACAUUCUGGGAAAUAUUCGCACCUGAUGUCCUGGAGGUUUUUAAUGAGAGUCUGGCCUCUAGUUCCAUGCCGAUGUCCUGCCGCAGAACGGUGAUAACACUACUGCCGAAGGGGAACCUGCAGGACAUCGGCAACUGGCGCCCUGUGUCUCUACUGUGCGUGGAUUACAAGCUUCUGUCCAGGGUCUUUGCCUCCAGGCUGAGGGAAGCUAUGGAGCAGGUCAUCCAUCGGGACCAGACCUACUGUGUGCCCGGCAGGUCCAUGGUAGACAAUGUCUACCUCAUUCGAGAUGUUUUGGAGGUCGCCAGCUCGUUAGGUAUUAAUACUGGUCUGAUUUCUCUAGACCAGGGAAAGGCUUUUGACCGCGUUGAGCACAGCUUCCUCUGGAAGGUCAUGGGGAAGUUUGGGUUCAGCGCUGGUUUCAUAGCUAAGAUCAAAGUGUUGUAAAGCGAGGUUGAGAGUGUGCUGAAGAUAAACGGUAGUCUGUGCGCUCCUUUAAGGGUGCGUAGAGGGGUCCGGCAGGGUUGUGCCCUGUCCGGAAUGCUCUAUGCACUCUCCCUGGAACCCCUUCUCAGCAGAAUACGCUCUAGCCUGGAGGGCUUGGUUUUACCUGGUUUUAGUAGGAACAUAUCAGCUUAUGCAGAUGAUGUUGUUGUUUUUAUUAAGGACCAGAGGGAUGCAGACCUUUUAAACAGCAUGGUGGAGGAUUUUAGCAAGGCAGCGAGGGUGAACUGGAGGAAAAGCGAAGCCCUUGCUGUCGGUGAAUGGCGUGACGGCCUCCCGGUUCUUCCCCAAAGGUUAGUUUGGAGAAAAGACGGUUUUAAAUACCUGGGGAUCUAUCUGGGACAAAGAGACAUGGUCCAAAAGAACUGGGAGGGCGUCACAGAGAAGAUAGAGGGAAAACUUGUAAAAUGGAAAUGGCUGCUCCCUCAGAUGUCUUUUAAAGGUAGAGUGUUGGUUUUAAACAAUCUCAUUGCAUCUCAUUUGUGGCACCGCUUAACCUGCCUAGACCCACCCUCUGGGUUUCUAUCCAACAUACAACGAAAGAUGGUAGAUUUCUUAAGGGAGGGUCUACACUGGGUGCCACAAGGGGUGCUGUUUUGAGCCAGAGAGGAGGGGGGACAGGGCCUUGUCCACUUGGCCAGCUGGACGGCCACUUUAAGGUUACAGUUUUUGAAAAGUUACCUCACAUGUCCGGAGGGUUUAGUGUGGCGAGAUGUGGCCACUUGUAUCCUCAGACGUACAGACAACCUGGGGCUGGAUACUGCUGUUUUUAAUGGAUCCCAAUAUUUUAAAUAUAAAAGGGCUGCCUCUGUUUUAUCAGGGCGUUUUUAAGUGUUGGGCCCUUUUUAUUCAAAAACGAUGUCCACUGUCUAUCUCUUUGUACUGGUUGUUGAGAGAACCAUUGAUUUGCAGGGCCAAGUUGGACGUCAGCAGCAGCGUCACCCCUGACCUGACGGGGGCGCUGCGAAAAACAAGAACAUUGUGCCUGCACCAGCCGGUGGACGCAGUGGGGCCGACGCUGAGCGAUGCCCCGGCCCUGGGCUCACUGCUUGGGCUGCAUUUGGUCCGGGGGGCGGGGAGGCUCCUGGAACUGUGGAGCCAAAGGCUGACGGGGGAAGAAAAGAGCCUCCUCAUGGAAUACAGCCAGAAGAAGAUGAUACCGGACCCUGCAGACCCAUUUCCAGAGAUCUACCUGAGUCCGGGGCUAGGGGAUCUCACCGGCCAGUCUAUGAGCUCAGAGAGACUAUUUAUCAUGUUUUUACUGAGUGUAAGCGACUCGCAGGUUUCUUCUCUCUUUUAACAUUGGUUUUUAGUCUUUUUAGCGUGUUUUUUACGGAAAGGGUUUUUAUUAUGGGAGCUGCCUACAAGAAAACGGAAAAAGAAAAAUGGCAGCUCCUUAACUUUCUGUGCGGAGAGGCAAAAAUGGCAAUUUAUUUAAGCAGAAAAAACAGAGAGGAGAACCGAGAGGGGCAGGAGGCAAAAGUGAUAUGCCUGUGCAACAUUAGAGCAAGGCUCUAAUGGACGCUUUUAAACAGCGCUGGUGUUUUAAUGACAUUGUUUGUUCUGUGGUCAAUGGCGAGCUGGUAUUUGCACGUUUUUAGCAGGUGAUUACAUAGUUUUACUUUUUUUUUUUUUUUUUAAUGUUGUAUUUUUUCUUGGAAGGAAAAAACAACAACAACAAAAAGUGGCACGUGUGAUCAUGUCUUUCUCCCGUCCUCCUCCUCUCUUUCCAUUCAUUCCCCUCUCCCUUCUUCACCCUCUUUCUUUCUCCCCUCUUUCUCCCUUCCUCCUCCUCUCUUUCCAUUCAUCCCCCUCUUCCUUCCUCACCCUCUCGCCCUUUUUCUUUCUCUCUUCCUCCCUCCCUCUCUUUCACCUUUGCUCUCUCUAGUGUGCUCUCUCCUUCUACCCUCCACAAUGCCAACAUGGAGGGAAUUUUACUGAAGUGUUCCACCAGCCAUCAUUGCUAAAGGGAUAAGAAACCUCUACUGAAAAUAAGUCACAUGCAGCAUUCAAAAUGAACAGUGACGGACAACUACGGCUACGGUUGAAUAUUUAUUGCAACAAAUUAUUAUUAUUAUUAUUAUAAACAAGCGUAAAAAACAAUUGAACAUAAGUAACAAGUCAAAACAAAAUGAACACAUAACUGAUACAUUAUGAACACAAUCUUAUAAACAUAUACAUUUUAUAACAGUAGAAAUUUAAAUUUUUCGCCACUUCCAUCGCCUGCACCUUGUUUCCUGUCAUUUUUAUUUGAACUUUUAUUACGGGUUCGAUCAUAACAAGUUCGAUUGGCUCCCACAAUCUCUCCUCAAUUAAGACGGUACGGCCGUCUUCUAGGAGAAGGUUGAGGUUCCCCGGAUCUCCCUCAAUCUCUAUCACCCCGAGUGCCCCCACGAUGUCCUCUGAGCGUACCUCCUGUUGAGAGAAAAGUGGACAUUAUCCCGCUGUCAGCCGCAAUCCAGAGCAAUCAUUAUCGUUUUUAAGCAGGAGAAUAAAAUAACCCCAGCACGGAGGCAUUGCAUUAUAAUUUAUUCAACUUUUUUUUUAAAUAACAUAACAUCACUCAAUCAAACUUUGCUGUUGAAGCCAGAUAGUGUAAAGAUUAUCUAAAAAGUGAAUGUUUGUUUCAAUUUCAUAAAAAAACAAGUAGGCCUACCUCGAUGGUGGAAAAGUUUGUGGACUGGAGUCUGAGCCCAUAGUUUAAACUCUCAGCUUUAAGAUGGGAAACUUUAAUGUGGGCCCCACCUGCAGCUGCCAUACGGCCGCCUCCCUCCAGAAACACAGCGACAUCUGUGAUUCCCCCUGUAGAAGACAACAGAGCAUCCUCCUUAUCUGCAUUGUGUUUGCCGUCACCCUCCUCCUCCUCCUGACUCGCUUUUUCUAUAUUGAACGGCAGACCAUAACGGCUGGUGACUCUAAAGUGCAAGUUCACACAUGGAAGUACACCGCAGGAUAAGCGGUUUGACAAUGAAUGUAUGGAUGGUUCAGAGUUUAGUAUGCCUUCUCAUCAUAAUAAUCUGUCUCGAAACCCUCAUUGAGUUCUCUUUCCUUCUGCCUCCUGUUCCCUGUCUAACUGCAGCCUGCCAGUGUUGGUGACUCCUUGGAUAUUUGACAGUAAGUUCUCACAUAUGAUUGACAACUGAAUGCACUUUCUUAAAACAUUUUGUGAAGUUGUAAUGAAUCAGUGAUGGCCGAGCUGCAUUGCCUGUGUGUGUGUAUUGCGUCUGCUAGAGUGAGACCCGGAGAUCUUAAGAGUGUGAGGCAGCGUCAGAAUCUGGUUAAAAAAAUAUGGAACUUGCAGCCAAAGUAUACCCUCUUGAGGCUUCAUUUCUUCAGAUUAAUGAGGGCAUGGUUAUGCUGAUUGGAUUAAUGUGUUCAUAGAAUCCCAGAGUUCUUUAGUUUUGGCCUACGGACACCAGUCACACAACAGUCACACAACCUCUGCUAAAAUAGUAAAAUAUAGUUUUGCGCUGGUUGUCAUUUGUUUGAGGUGUGGUUUCUUGGUAAAAUCCGUUUACUCUGUGAUCAGCCCGCGAAAACAGCAGCUGCGCCGUCUCCAUGACGACCACACAGCCUCGUGCCAGCACUCUCUCUCUCCCUCCCCUACGGAGUCUGACAGACACGCAGGCUCACGUGGGUGGGUUUCUCAUCCAAUCACAUACUGUCUACUCUUGUCCAAUAGAAAUCUUUCGUUCAAUGGGUGAGCGGGAAAAUAGAGAAUCCUUGACAUCUGACUCAUCAUUUACAUAAACUAUCCUGAAGUCGAAAACAGAGAGAAGUAAGUUUUUUUGUCCUCAUAAAUGUGAUAAUCAAAACUAUAUGAAUAAUACUUGACAUACACUAUAUAUAUCUCCUUUUAUUGACAAACUAUUACAAAACAAAACUAUUAUAUAGAAUUUUUUUUUAACAUUGCUAGCUAGAUAUCUUAAAGUAGCAGCCAUCAAUUUCCUGUUCCUCUGACAUCCAAGUAAUUGUCAUUAACUUAGUCGCCUGAAGGUCAAAAGCUGAGAGAAGUGUUUUUUCCCCUCAAAUGUACUAAUUUAAAAUAAUAGCUGACAUAUACUAUAUAUCUUUAUAUUGACAAAUUACAUUAAAACGUUUUUUACAAGCUAGCUAGAUAUCGGUCAUGCGAUAUCUAGCUAGCACCGUCAUUUCCUGUUUUAGGCAUACAAAAGUGAAUCACGUGAAUUUCUAAGAUGAAAUGUGUGAGCUUACUCCUUAACUUAGUGUCCAUUUUUAUAUUUCAGAAUGGCCCUAAAACAGCUUCUUGGGACCAAAAUGCCCACGGCUUAUUUGAAACCACCAGCAAUCCACCUAUGCGUGGUUCGGAAAAAAGAGCAGGCCAGGGUGGUGACCUGGAACUUUGGCGUAACGGGUGCGAGUCCAGCUGUUACAAAAAAAAAAACGUACUUGUGUUUUUUUCGGACGGGAAGUCUCUUACAAAGACGACCAUUUAUGAGGAGUUUUCCUCCUUUUCAGGAGGGUGGGAGUUAUUUUGUUAAGGGGUAUGGGUUAAGAGGGCAGUCGGUUCUCCAUCAUGCUAAAUAUUAGUAGGGAAACCGUCUUCUUUAGAAGAUAGCAAUAAGCCAAGAGCUCAGGAGCCAAGCGGAGAGCCUCCUCUGCCCCCCAUCUCCUCUGACCCCCCUGAGCAGCUGUGCAGAUGUGGCGGGGCUGUUUACCGUGGAGGGGGAGGUCGUCGAAGUAAGUUCAGUCUUAGCCUGUGGUCGUGUAAAUAAGGUAACAGGUUUAAAAAUAUGGUGCAUUGGCAUACAUUGUUAUUAACUCACAAAUCCAUCUUGUUUAGAUGUCAAUUGUGAGGAAAAUAAAAAAGGAAAAAGAGGCCUACCCCCUGCGCCAAAUACAGCUGCAGCAGGGGGAAACAGCAGUCUGGGAUCUGCUCCAAGUGGGGGGACACAUCAGAGUGUCCCAUCUAAGGACCACCCUGUCCCAAUAUGGGACGCAGGCGCAUUCCACAAAUAUUUCCACCAUUGAGGAGGUGACAUCAGAGGAGGUGGUUGGUGUGUGUGGGGUGGUUGAAGUGGAGGGCUCUCCAGACACCCUGAACCUCCUGCUGGAGGACGACCGCACCACCACCGUCAGCAGAGCGCUGUGGGAGCCCCUUGACCCCCAACUGAAAAAUCCACCCCUGUGAAAAUAAAAAUCAUUGGCAAUCAUGUGUCCAAAAUGUAAUUGUAUAAAGUUUAAUUUGUUUGUUUCAUAUGUUCUUUGUUCCUGAACAUUCUGUAAUGCAUGAGUUGUUUUACUGUGUUUAUUUUGUUAUUUCUAUUGUUGGAUUGAUCCGUUCUGUCAAAAAAAAAUAUUUCAAAAGCUGAGAGAAGUGUUUUUUUUCCUCAUAAAUGUGAUAAUUAAAAUACCUGAGUGUAACAGAUUGGUCCUCUGGGGGGGGGGUCUUGGAAAGACGAGCAUGAGGCAGUCGGGUCCAUUAUAAAUGGUUUUAUUUAUUGUUUCACACCCAAAACACAGCCGGCUCCAGCUUCCUCGCUCUCUCGCUGUCGCCGGACCUCUCCUACUUAACAGGCAGAAUACAAACACGGAUUAAUAUCAGCUGAGGCCAAUUGCCUCCCCCGGCACCGUUCCCUGAACCACUCCCUUCUCAGUCCCCCCCUGCAGCCGAGCCAAACCACGCCCGCCACCACACUGACAUAUACUAUAUAUCUUUUUGACAAUUUACAUUACAACAUUGCUAGCUAGAUAUCUCAAAGUAUCAGUCAUCAAUUUCCUGUUUUAGUCAUACAACAUACCUUUUCCAAGCGCAGAGCCUCUUCUGACCCCCCUGAGCAGCUGUACAGAUGUGGCCGGGCUGUUCACCGUGCAGGGGGAGGUCCUCGAGGUGAGUUCAAUCUUAGCCUGUUGUGGUGUAAAACAGGGCAACAGGUUUAAUAUUUGGUGCAUAUUGGCAUAAAUUGUUAUUAACUAGCAAAUCCAUCUUGGAAAGUGUCAGUGGUAUGAGAUCAGGGCUCCUAAAUGAAAAAAAAAUUAGGAGCAGUGUUUUUUUUAAGCAGUUCCUGCUCAUUGCCACACUAUUGCAGAGCCAUAGAAAAGAGUUGCGACACCACACUUUUUUAUAUGGCUCUGGCCCAUUGGUUGCAAAUUUGCAUAAAGUUUAGUGCAUCGGGUAUCG
ensembl:lncRNA